rnacentral:tRNA from 1 species
GGUGGCUCAAUGGUAGAGGACUUGCCUUGUAUGCAUGAGGCCCUGGGUUUGAUUCCCCAGCACCA